rnacentral:rRNA from 1 species
UACGAACCGUGCGAACGUUGUUCGGAAUCACUGGGCUUAAAGGGCGCGUAGGCGGUCUGUCAAGUCUGGGGUGAAAUGCUGCGGCUCAACCGUAGAACUGCCUUAGAUACUGACGGCCUUGAGGAAGGUAGGGGCAUGCGGAACUGUAGGUGGAGCGGUGAAAUGCGUUGAUAUCUACAGGAACUCCGGUGGCGAAAGCGGCGUGCUGGACCUUUUCUGACGCUGAGGCGCGAAAGCUAGGGGAGCAAACGGG